AUUUUGUUUUGGAGGUUACAGUUGCUUCUUAUUUUUCAACUUCUUUUGAUUCAAAUUCUGUUGAGAUUUGUUAUCAGAUGAUUUUCAGAAGGUUUUCUAGUUUUUUAAUUCUGUUGAAGGAAAACAAGAUGAGGAUUAGAAAAGAAUAGCUUAUGGUAUUAUCUUUAUUCUCAAGGCAGCAUAAGGAAUUAAGGAUAAAAAAUGAGAGAAACAAGAUUAGAAGGAAUGUGAAACUUUUCUCAACUUGGCACAUAUGGAUUUGAAACUUUCAUUAUAGUUUCUAACUUUCUGUUGCUUGACCAUACUAAAAUUACACAUUGUGGCACUGCCUUAGUAUUUUUAUUUGGCUAACUAAUAUAUGCUUUGAAAUUUGUAACAUUGAUACUAUUAAUGGAUGACAAUUUUCUGUGCUGUCAGUCUAUUGUGUUUGUUAUUGUUUUGUUACAUCAUGUAUAUUACUUCCAUGCAGAUAUUACAUCAUUUUUUUGGAAAAAAAAUUUCAUGUUAUGAACUUAACUUCUUUUGUCAGUUAAUCUUCUCAGCUUAUUCUCU
rnacentral:misc_RNA from 1 species